rnacentral:rRNA from 1 species
CCUACGGGUGGCAGCAGUGGGGAAUAUUGGACAAUGGGGGCAACCCUGAUCCAGCCAUGCCGCGUGUGUGAAGAAGGCCCUCGGGUUGGAAAGCACUUUCAGUGAGGAAGAACGCCUGGUGGUUAAUACCCAUCAGGAAAGACAUCACUCACAGAAGAAGCACCGGCUAACUCCGUGCCAGCAGCCGCGGUAAUACGGAGGGUGCGAGCGUUAAUCGGAAUUACUGGGCGUAAAGCGCGCGUAGGUGGCUUGAUAAGCCGGUUGUGAAAGCCCCGGGCUCAACCUGGGAACGGCAUCCGGAACUGUCAAGCUAGAGUGCAGGAGAGGAAGGUAGAAUUCCCGGUGUAGCGGUGAAAUGCGUAGAGAUCGGGAGGAAUACCAGUGGCGAAGGCGGCCUUCUGGACUGACACUGACAAUGAGGUGCGAAAGCGUGGGUAGCAAACAGGAUUAGCUACACCAGUAGUC